rnacentral:tRNA from 1 species
GCGGGCGUGGCGGAAUUGGUAUACGCGACGGCCUUAGGAGCCGUUGUCCUCACACGACUUAAGGGUUCGAGUCCCUUCGCCCGCA